UACAGAGGGUGCAAGCGUUAAUCGGAUUUACUGGGCGUAAAGCGUGCGUAGGCGGUUCAUUAAGUCGGUUGUGAAAUCCCUGGGCUUAACCUGGGAACUGCAGUCGAUACUGAUGGACUAGAGUACGGUAGAGGGUGGCGGAACUCCGGGUGUAGCGGUGAAAUGCGCAGAUAUCGGGAGGAACACCGGUGGCGAAGGCGGUUCUCUGGGCCUUACCUGACGCUGAGGAGCGAAAGCGUGGGGAGCGAACAGG
rnacentral:rRNA from 1 species